rnacentral:rRNA from 1 species
GACGAACGCUGGCGGCGUGCUUAACACAUGCAAGUCGAACGGAAAGGCCCUGCUUUUGUGGGGUGCUCGAGUGGCGAACGGGUGAGUAACACGUGAGUAACCUGCCCUUGACUUUGGGAUAACUUCAGGAAACUGGGGCUAAUACCGGAUAGGAGCUCCUGCUGCAUGGUGGGGGUUGGAAAGUUUCGGCGGUUGGGGAUGGACUCGCGGCUUAUCAGCUUGUUGGUGGGGUAGUGGCUUACCAAGGCUUUGACGGGUAGCCGGCCUGAGAGGGUGACCGGCCACAUUGGGCCUGAGAUACGGCCCAGACUCCUACGGGAGGCAGCAGUGGGGAAUAUUGCACAAUGGGCCGAAGCCUGAUGCAGCAACGUCACGUGCGGGAUGACGGCCUUCGGGUUGUAAACCGCUUUCGCCUGUGACGAAGCGUGAGUGACGGUAAUGGGUAAAGAAGCACCGGCUAACUACGUG